UACGUAGGUGGCAAGCGUUGUCCGGAAUUAUUGGGCGUAAAGCGCGCGCAGGCGGCCUCUUAAGUCUGAUGUGAAAGCCCCCGGCUCAACCGGGGAGGGCCAUUGGAAACUGGGAGGCUUGAGUAUAGGAGAGAAGAGUGGAAUUCCACGUGUAGCGGUGAAAUGCGUAGAGAUGUGGAGGAACACCAGUGGCGAAGGCGACUCUUUGGCCUAUAACUGACGCUGAGGCGACGAAAGGCGUGGGGAGCAAACAGG
rnacentral:rRNA from 1 species